rnacentral:rRNA from 1 species
UGGGAAUCUGCCUUUUGGUUCGGAAUAACACGGGGAAACCUGUGCUAAUACCGGAUAAGCCCUUACGGGGAAAGUUUUAAUGCCGAAAGAUGAGCCCGCACUUGAUUAGCUAGUUGGUAAGGUAAAAGCUUACCAAGGCAACGAUCAAUAGCUGUUCUUAGAGGAAGACCAGCCACAUUGGGACUGAGACACGGCCCAGACUCCUACGGGAGGCAGCAGUGGGGAAUCUUGCACAAUGGGGGAAACCCUGAUGCAGCGAUGCCGCGUGAGUGAAGAAGGCCCUUGGGUUGUAAAACUCUUUCGUCGGGGAAGAAAAUGACUGUACCCGAAUAAGAAGGUCCGGCUAACUUCGUGCCAGCAGCCGCGGUAAUACGAAGGGACCUAGCGUAGUUCGGAAUUACUGGGCUUAAAGAGCUCGUAGGUGGUUAAAAAAGUUGAUGGUGAAAUCCCAAGGCUUAACCUUGGAACUGCCAUCAAAACUUUUUAGCUAGAGUGUGAUAGAGGUAAGUGGAAUUUCUAGUGUAGAGGUGAAAUUCGUAGAUAUUAGAAAGAACAUCAAAUGCGAAGGCAACUUACUGGGUCACUACUGACACUGAGGAGCGAAAGCAUGGGUAGCGAAGUGGAUUAGAUACCCUCGUAGUCCAUGCCGUAAACGAUGUGUGCUAGACGUUGGA